UCUAUUUUUUCUUUUUAAUAAUUGCCAUUUUGACUAGCAAGAGAUGAUAUGUCAUUGUGGUUUUGAUUUGCAUUUCUCUAAUGAUCAGUGAUAUCAAGCUUUUUUUCAUAUGUUUCCUGGCCACGUAAAUGUCUUAUGAGAAGGGUCUGUUCAUAUCCUCUGCCCACUUCUUUAUGGGCCUGGGUUUUUUUCUUGUACAUUUGUUUAAGUUCUUUGUGGAUUCUGGAUAGUAGCCUUUUGUCAGAUGGGUAG